UCUGCAGAGGCCUCCGGCGCAAUGUAAGUCGUUCUUGUCUAAACCUGUGGACUGUAACUCCUUUAAGUGUAAACAUUUUGUUCCUUCACCUCCAUCACCUUCACCAUUUCCUUCACCUACAGCACCGGUAACACCUUCUCCAUCACCUUCUACGCCUUCACCAUUUCCUUCACCUACAACACCGGUAACACCACCUUCACCCUCACAUUCCCCUCCAUCACCUUCUACGCCUUCACCUACAACACCGGUUACACCUUCUCCCUCACAUUCACCUCCAUCACCUGCUACACCUUCACCAUUUCCUUCACCUACAACACCGGUAACACCUUCACCCUCACAUUCCCCUCCAUCACCUGCUACACCUUCACCAUUUCCUUCACCUACAACACCGGUAACACCUUCACCCUCACAUUCCCCUCCGUCACCUGCUACACCUACAACACCGGUAACACCUUCACCUUCACAUUCCCCUCCGUCACCUGCUACACCUUCACCAUUUCCUUCACCUACAACACCGGUAACACCUUCACCUUCACAUUCCCCUCCGUCACCUGCUACACCUUCACCAUUUCCUUCACCUACAACUCCUGUAACACCUUCACCUCCAUCGCCUUCUACUCCUUCACCCUUUCCUUCACCUACGACACCUGUGACACCUUCACCUGUUCAUAGUCCUCCUUCUCCAGUGUAUUUGCCACCGCCACAUUCUUCCCCUACACCACCUGCUCAUAAUUACGGCUCUCCGCCACCCCAUCACUCACCCGCUCAACCUGUUUAUCCUUAUUUAUCACCGCCACCUCCUCCCUCUGUCCAUUCUUCACCUCCACCACCACCACCACCACCUUGUAUAGAACUUCCUCCACCCCCUCCCCAAUCUACACCUUCUCCCACACCUUACCUGCCACCACCAUCCCCAUCUCCUCCCCCGCCACCGCCACCGGUAUACCAUUCUCCACCGCCGGCAUCACCGCCUCCGUGCGAAACUCCAC
rnacentral:lncRNA from 1 species